CACGUAGGGGCCAAGCGUUGUCCGGAUUUAUUGGGCGUAAAGAGCUCGUAGGCGGCUCGGUAAGUCAGGUGUGAAACCUCCAGGCUCAACCUGGAGACGCCACCUGAUACUGCUGUGGCUAGAGUCCGGUAGGGGGAGCGUGGAAUUCCUGGUGUAGCGGUGAAAUGCGCAGAUAUCAGGAGGAACACCGGUGGCGAAGGCGGGUCUCUGGGCCGAUACUGACGCUGGAGGAGCGAAAGCGUGGGGAGCAAACAGG
rnacentral:rRNA from 1 species